rfam:Ictidomys tridecemlineatus contig052726, whole genome shotgun sequence.
UGUGAUAUAGCUCAGUGGUAGAGCAUGUGCCAAGAAUGCACAAGGCCCUGGGUUCAACCCCCUGCACUGCAG